CCGCUGAAAAAGAAGGAAGAGGUAUCCACUGUCCCAAGCCAGAAAGUCAAGGCUUAAAAUCUCGACUCUUCCUUCUCUCUUUUCUUGCUCUCCUCUCUGUUUAUCUCUCUGUGGAGAAGAAAAUGAACUCUCUUUGUAAAUUACCAAACAGCCUAAUCUCAUAUCUGCUAUCGUCAUCCAAAUCUAAUUAUUAUAGUACUUGCAAUUCCCGGGAAGGUUCUCGAUUAUUGAAAGACUAUGCGACGCGGGAAUUCAAUGCUUUCCUGUGGAUUUCUCUUGUUACCAUCACUGCUCUCUUGCUAGAGAAGGUUUUCAAGUUGUUUAGAUUAUGGGCUAAAGCGAGGAGAAUCACCGGCCCUGCUUGUACUUCCUUCUUCGGGCAUAAGAACUUUGGUUCCCGCCGGAAUUUCAUCGACCUGUUGUCGGAGCUGCACAAUAAAUAUGGAUCAGUUUUCAAGUUGUGGUUGGGGCCUACUCAGCUUCUGGUAUCCAUAAAAGACCCAGAACUUAUCAAAGAGAUGCUUUUGAAGGCCGAGGACAAAUUGCCUUUUACUGGAAAGGCUUUUCGAUUAGCCUUUGGACGAUCAAGCCUUUUCUUCUGCUCCUAUGAUCAGGCAGAAAAAAGGAGAGAAUCAUUGGCAUUGCAGUUGAAUGAAAAGUUGCUUGGUAGAGCAAAUGUAAUUCCUAAAUAUGUCAUAGAUUGUGUCAUGGAAAGAAUAGAUGAGAUGAGCAAAGGAGUUGUUGAUUGUAAAAUGGUUUCUCAGCAUAUGGCUUUUACCAUUUUGGGGACAACACUCUUUGGAGAUGCAUUCUUGGCAUGGUCCAAGGCAAAUUUCUAUGAGGAGCUUCUAAUGAUGAUUGCUAAAGAUGCCUCCUUUUGGGCCUCAUAUAGAGUUACUCCCUUCUGGAAACAGGGAUUUUGGAGGUACCAGUCUUUGUGCACUAAUUUGAAAUAUUUAACUCAGGACAUUGUUCAACAGUGCAGAAAAAACUGCAAACUUUUUCACCAUGUGGAUCAAAACUCCAAUGAUGAAACUGUCAAAUAUGGGAUGAAAGCUGCAUCUGGCAUGCCAACAUCUGGUGACGUGUUGCAAGAUAAAUUCUCAAGGGAGAUUGAUGGCCAUCAUAAUUUAAGGGAAGAGCCGUGUGGGAAUAUUAUGGGUAUGAUGUUUCAUGGAUGCAUUGCCACUGCAGGUUUGGUGACUAAUAUCUUGGAGAGGCUUGUCACAAAUCCAGAGAUACAGGAUAAGGUGGGGGCUUUUCUUUCCUUUAACUGUGAUGUUCGUGCAGAUGCAAUGCUGAGAACUUUGAUUCUGACCUUUUGUUAUUAUUUCUUUGUCAUAGGGCUGGUGCUAAAUUAUUGCUGUACAUAGUUUUUGUUGUUCUCUCUCAUGAGGCUCAGGGAACUCCAUUAUGAAUGUUAUCAUAUUUCUCCUUACCUUUAGUUUUCCAUACUCUAUUUGUUGCAUAAUUCUUGCCAUGCAUUUUAGGUGCCUGCUAUAUGGUUUACCGGUAGGUUGUGAUGUUUUUGAGAAGAUGAUGUUUUUCAACUGCCCUUUCUCUAGUCUUCUUCAUAAUUUAACCUAUAUGUGCUAUUUAUUAAAAUGUAAUUGAGUUUUGUUUUAAAUUAUUCAUUUAGAAUGCGUGUUGGUUUUCUUUAUAUUAUGAUGAAAUUGCAUAGUUUGUUGACAGUGAUGCAAUAGGCAUUAAGUUGGAGUAAUGAUUACAUUUUAUUUUUCGUUUUUGUUAUAUUGGGAAAGCAUGGUGUUCAAUUAUUUUGGAUGGCCCAUUCUAGGGAUUGAAGGUUUAUGUUGUAAUUUACUUGGAAAUUAAUAUUCAAAUGUCUACAGAUAUACUCAGAGAUUAUUAUCGUAAGGCAAGGGUCAACGAAAGAUGCUGAAAACGUUGAUAAGAUGGUCUUGCUGUUGGCAACUAUUUAUGAAUCAGCUCGCCUUGUGUCACCAGGACCUUUGCUACAAAGAUGUUCUUUGAAAGAUGGUAAGUCAAUGCCCUUUAUAUGCCAAGAGCUGGUUUGGCAUAGCAGAUUUUUAAUUUUUUUUCCCUGUACCAAGAUGCAAAGUGGUCACCUUGAACAUUUAGUUUGCUUAGAGGACUUGGCAUAGCAGGAUACUUAUCCUUUUUUUACUAUAAUCAGUGUUGUACUUGGUAGCAAUAUCACAAUGAGUUGCUCUGUUUUGAAACCUUUGCCUUCAUGAAUUUUGGGAAAUUUCUCUUCAAAGUUGUGUUCAUGUUCAUGCACAUGCACAUGCACAUGCACAUGAUGGGUGAGGGAAAAAGGAAUGAUGUGUGGGAGGGCUUUAUGUAACCAUAUGCUGGCUAGUGGCUAUAGUGCCUUUAGCUUAUGGUGUUUAUAUGUUGAGUAUCAUGUAUGUUAGGUGUGAAGCAAAUUGGAAAUGACCAGUUGGUCUAUAUCACUCAACUUUGCCAUCUGUGAAUUUUUAUUUUUAUAUUAUGUAUUGUUUUAUGAUAUGCUUCCAAAGAAUGCAACCAAGAUUGCACUUUAGAUUUAUCAUUUAUGUUGCAAGAUUUUUUUUACCAGCUUAGCUUUAUCAAUCAGCUGUGAUAAUGGUACUGCUGCUUUUCAUAAUUGCUAAUUCUGGUUUAUUAUUUUCUCUUUAUUGUAUAUAGUCACUGAUUCUUUCUGUUUCUCCCUUUUAAUGCAAGAUUUGAUACUCAAAAAUGGUGUAAUUAUACCAGCUGGAGCAGUACUAGUUGUACCUGUGCAUUUGCUGCAGAUGGAUGAUGCUAGUUGGGGCAGUGAUGCUAGCAAAUUUAAUCCAUACCGGUUUUUGUCAAAAGUUGGAAAGGUUUCUCAUUCAGAGCAGGAUAAUUCAUUUACAGGUUCUACUCUUUCCUGUGUCCAGUUUGUUUUACCCCCUGUAAAAAAUACAAUCUACAUGCACCUCAAAUCAUAUGCUCAAGUGAAUUGCCUAAGAUACGUAAAUUUGUUACAUUAUAGUUAAUUAGCUAUCCAAGUGUCUUCUUUAUCCUCUUAAUGUGGAUAUUUACCAAUAACUUUUGUUUGCAUCACAUUUUAUUGGCAUCAUUUAUAGUUCUAUUGAUUUUAAGUUACCCUCACAUCUAGUAUUUCUUGUGACAAUUCUGGAAUAUUUAUCCAUUACAUGCAUUGUUAAGCUUAACAUAACAUUACUCAAAAAGCUUCAUGAUUAACCGAUCUGUAGUAAUAAUAAUAAUAUUCUCAGAGGUUUCUGAAGGUGCUGUUGACCCAACUCGGAGCUCAUUCAUUUUGAAUGAUCCAAAUGACAAUGCAGCAUUUCUUCCCUUUGGUUCUGGUACACGUGUGUGUGUGGGUCAGAAAUUUGUAAUGCAAGGAGUUGCCACUUUGUUCGCUUCAUUACUUGAACGCUACGAGGUUUGUUGGAUAAGCUACUAUUUCUUUCUUUAUUUGUUCAUGUAUGCAAUUUUGUUUAUAACAAUGUCUUCCUGCUUAAUCAUGACUUGCUGCUUUAAUUUGCAAGUUUUCACAUGUAUAGGUGAUGGUUAGGAUAGUGACAUUUUCAUAGAUAGUGACUUAAUCUAUGGAGUCUUUAUUCUCUGAUACAAAAUGACAGGUAAGGCUUCAACCAGUAUUGGGAAAUGACCCAAAAUCAACCGGUCCAGAGAUAGUAUUUGUGAGGAGAAGCAGUCAAAAGAAUGAAUAAAUGUGAAGGUUACCGCGCAAGAACAAGCUUUUCUAUUGUUGCUUCAACAACCAUUAUUGUAUAACCACUUAAACCGAAAACAAUCCCUUCUUAUCGUUCCUGUGUCUGCAGAAUAGAUGGGGGGUCAUUUCCUUUUUUUGCUUAGUAGCUGCUAAAGAGGAGAAUGUCGCAUGAGUGUGUUUUAUGUCUCAUGCUUUUUCUCUUCAGGUUUUUAGAAUAGCUAGAGUGCUGUCCUUGAUGCCAUGAUAAUUGGUUUGGUUUUGAAGCACUCGAGCCUGUAUUCACUACCGAGCCUAGCGGUUUUCUUCCCCAUCUUUCAUCUUUGAAGCUCCUACUAUUAUUAUUAUUAUUUCUUGUAGUUCUAUCGUGUGAACUUUA
rnacentral:misc_RNA from 1 species